rnacentral:rRNA from 1 species
UACGGCGGGUGCAAGCGUUACUCGGAAUCACUGGGCGUAAAGGGCGCGUAGGCGGCCUAGCAAGUCUGGUGUGAAAGCCCAGGGCUCAACCCUGGAAAGUCACUGGAAACUGUUAGGCUUGAGUUCCGGAGAGGAGGGGGGAAUUCCCGGUGUAGGGGUGUAAUGCGUAGAUAUCGGGAGGAAUACCGGUGGCGAAGGCGCCCCUCUUGACGGAAACUGACGCUGAAACACGGAAGCGUGGGGACCAAACAUG